CAUCCAUCCAUCCGGCCAACCUACAGCACAGACAUUGUACAGAAGUAGUAAAGGAGGAACUGCCAAUGCCAACACCAAGGUGGAGAAGAGGGAGCAGGGAGGCAGCAGCAGCAGGAGGAAGAAAGCCUACACCACAUCUCUGGACUAAGGGACACCUGGGUGCCCAUUAGCACACGGAGAAGCCAGCAUGGGCCGAGUGAAGACCGCACAGUUUUCUCAGGAAGGUCAUGACUUAAGGCUCCACUUCAAGAUGGCGGCACCAGUGCAAGACAGUCCACAGUUCUCAGUGACCACCUGCCCCAGAGCAGCACCAUGGAGGAUGGCACUUGGCAGAGGACUCUACAGACGCCACAUCAGAAGAGAAGAAGCUGCACU